CAGCAGCCGCGGUAGUACGAAGGGGGCUAGCGUUGUUCGGGUUUACUGGGCGUAAAGCGCACGUAGGCGGACUUUUAAGUCAGGGGUGAAAUCCCGGGGCUCAACCCCGGAACUGCCUUUGAUACUGGAAGUCUUGAGUAUGGUAGAGGUGAGUGGAAUUCCGAGUGUAGAGGUGAAAUUCGUAGAUAUUCGGAGGAACACCAGUGGCGAAGGCGGCUCACUGGACCAUUACUGACGCUGAGGUGCGAAAGCGUGGGGAGCAAACAGGAUUAGAUACCCCAGUAGUCCCUGUCUCUUAUAC
rnacentral:rRNA from 1 species